UGAAGUGAUAGGUCUGAAGGAGGAGAGCUCCACUGUUCAGUCCCUGAAGGAAGAGUUCACCCAGCGUAUAGCAGAGGCAGAAAGGAAGGCUCAGCUGGCCUGCAAAGAGAGAGACAUAGCUAAGAAGGAGAUAAAGGGUUUGCGAGAGGAGCUUUCCACAAGACUAAACGCCAGUGAUACAAUGGAGAUCAUCAAGGAAAAGGAGGAGCAGAUCAGAGGUCUGCUGGAAGAGGGUGAAAAGCUGUCCAAACAGCAGCUACAGCACAGCAACAUCAUCAAGAAACUGCGUGUGAAGGAGAAGGAGAGUGACACAAAGAUCACCAAACAACAAAAGAAAAUCAAGGAUCAAGAGGAAGAGCUGAGACAGCUCCA